rnacentral:other from 1 species
AAGGUUCUGCGGUGUGCGUGGUUGCCCUUCGCGGCGCAGCGGCCCAUUAAACCCACAUCUCUCAUAAGGGAUGCCGAUUUGAAUCUGCGGAUUGCAGGCCUCCCGACUCCGGUCGGACGUUGGAAGCAGUGAAACAGAACUUAGGCGACCCACCUGCCUAUUUGUGCAGGUUAUAAUAGGGCCGACACGGCAUGCGCGGACUGCUC